rnacentral:rRNA from 1 species
AACGAACGCUGGCGGCAUGCCUAACACAUGCAAGUCGAACGAGACCUUCGGGUCUAGUGGCGCACGGGUGCGUAACGCGUGGGAACCUGCCCUUAGGUUCGGAAUAACUCCCCGAAAGGGGUGCUAAUACCGGAUAAUGUCUUCGGACCAAAGAUUUAUCGCCUUUGGAUGGGCCCGCGUUGGAUUAGCUAGUUGGUAGGGUAAAAGCCUACCAAGCCGACGAUCCAUAGCUGGUCUGAGAGGAUGAUCAGCCACACUGGGACUGAGACACGGCCCAGACUCCUACGGGAGGCAGCAGUGGGGAAUAUUGGACAAUGGGCGAAAGCCUGAUCCAGCAAUGCCGCGUGAGUGAUGAAGGCCUUAGGGUUGUAAAGCUCUUUUACCCGGGAUGAUAAUGACAGUACCGGGAGAAUAAGCUCCGGCUAACUCCGUG